rnacentral:rRNA from 1 species
GAUGAACGCUGGCGGCGUGCCUAAUACAUGCAAGUCGAGCGAAUGGAUUAAGAGCUUGCUCUUAUGAAGUUAGCGGCGGACGGGUGAGUAACACGUGGGUAACCCGCCCAUAAGACUGGGAUAACUCCGGGAAACCGGGGCUAAUACCGGAUAACAUUUCGAACCGCAUGGUUCGAAAUUGAAAGGCGGCUUCGGCUGUCACUUAUGGAUGGACCCGCGUCGCAUUAGCUAGUUGGUGAGGUAACGGCUCACCAAGGCAACGAUGCGUAGCCGCCCUGAGAGGGGGAUCGGCCACCGUGGGACUGAGACACGGCCCAGACUCAUACGGGAGGCAGCAGUAGGGAAUCUUCCGCAAUGGACGAAAGUCUGACGGAGCAACGCCGCGUGAGUGAUGAAGGCUUUCGGGUCGUAAAACUCUGUUGUUAGGGAAGAACAAGUGCUAGUUGAAUAAGCUGGCACCUUGACGGUACCUAACCAGAAAGCCACGGCUAACUACGUGCCAGCCGCCGCGGUAA